CGGGGUGAGUAACGCGUGGGUAACCUGCCUCAUACAGGGGGAUAACAGUUAGAAAUGACUGCUAAUACCGCAUAAGCACACAGUACCGCAUGGUACAGUGUGAAAAACUCCGGUGGUAUGAGAUGGACCCGCGUCUGAUUAGCUGGUUGGCGGGGUAACGGCCCACCAAGGCGACGAUCAGUAGCCGACCUGAGAGGGUGACCGGCCACAUUGGGACUGAGACACGGCCCAA
rnacentral:rRNA from 1 species